UACAGAGGUCUCAAGCGUUGUUCGGAUUCAUUGGGCGUAAAGGGUGCGUAGGCGGCGCGGUAAGUCGGGUGUGAAAUCUCAGAGCUCAACUCUGAAACUGCAUUGGAUACUAUUCGGCUUGAGGUCUGGAGGGGGGACUGGAAUUCUCGGUGUAGCAGUGAAAUGCGUAGAUAUCGAGAGGAACACCAGUGGCGAAGGCGAGUCCCUGGACAGAUCCUGACGCUGAGGCACGAAAGCUAGGGGAGCAAACAGG
rnacentral:rRNA from 1 species